AGAGUUUGAUCCUGGCUCAGGAUGAACGCUGGCGGCGUGCUUAACACAUGCAAGUCGAACGGGGGUGCCAUGAACGAAGCAUCAGUUUACUGAUAUGGAGGGAAUGGGACCCUAGUGGCGGACGGGUGAGUAACGCGUGGGUAACCUGCCCCAUACCGGGGGAUAACACUUAGAAAUAGGUGCUAAUACCGCAUAAGCGCACGGUACUGCAUGGUACAGUGUGAAAAACUCCGGUGGUAUGGGAUGGAUCCGCGUCUGAUUAGCUUGUUGGCGGGGUAACGGCCCACCAAGGCGACGAUCAGUAGCCGGCCUGAGAGGGUGGACGGCCACAUUGGGACUGAGACACGGCCCAAACUCCUACGGGAGGCAGCAGUGGGGAAUAUUGCACAAUGGGGGAAACCCUGAUGCAGCGACGCCGCGUGAGUGAAGAAGUAUUUCGGUAUGUAAAGCUCUGUCAGCAGGGAAGAAAAUGACGGUACCUGACCAAGAAGCCCCGGCUAACUACGUG
rnacentral:rRNA from 1 species